GGGGAAUAUUGCACAAUGGGCGAAAGCCUGAUGCAGCAACGCCGCGUGAGUGAUGAAGGUCUUCGGAUUGUAAAGCUCUGUCUUUUGGGACGAUAAUGACGGUACCAAAGGAGGAAGCCACGGCUAACUACGUGCCAGCAGCCGCGGUAAUACGUAGGUGGCGAGCGUUGUCCGGAUUUACUGGGCGUAAAGGGUGCGUAGGCGGAUGUUUAAGUGAGAUGUGAAAUACCCGGGCUUAACUUGGGUGCUGCAUUUCAAACUGGAUAUCUAGAGUGCAGGAGAGGAGAAUGGAAUUCCUAGUGUAGCGGUGAAAUGCGUAGAGAUUAGGAAGAACACCAGUGGCGAAGGCGAUUCUCUGAACUGUAACUGACGCUGAGGCACGAAAGCGUGGGUAGCAAACAGGAUUAGAUACCCUGGUAGUCCACGCCGUAAACGAUGAGUACUAGGUGUAGGAGGUAUCGACCCCUUCUGUGCCGCAGUAAACACAUUAAGUACUCCGCCUGGGAAGUACGAUCGCAAGAUUAAAACUCUAAAGUGAAUUGAC
rnacentral:rRNA from 1 species